rnacentral:rRNA from 1 species
GAUGAACGCUGGCGGCGUGCUUAACACAUGCAAGUCGAACGGUGAAGGCGGAGCUUUCUCUGCUGGAUCAUUGGCGAACGGGUGAGUAACACGUGAGCAAUCUGCCCCUGACUCUGGGAUAAGCGCUGGAAACGGCGUCUAAUACUGGAUACGAGCUGCUAAGGCAUCUUCAGCAGCUGUAAAGAACGUCGGUCAGGGAUGAUCUCGCGGCCUAUCAGCUUGUUGGUGAGGUAACGGCUCACCAAGGCGUCGACGGGUAGCCGGCCUGAGAGGGUUACCGGCCACAAUGGGACUGAGACACGGCCCAGAAUCCUACGGGAGGCAGCAGUGGGGAAUAUUGCACAAUGGGCGAAAGCCUGAUGCAGCAACGCCGCGUGCGGGACGACGGCCUUCGGGUUGUAAACCUCUUUUAGCAGGGAAGAAGCGAAAGUGACGGUACCUGAAGAAAAAGCGCCGGCUAACUACGUG